ensembl:lncRNA
AUAAAAUCUCUGGAACAUUUUAUUAUAAAACAAUAGUGCUUGGAAACUCCUUAAAGAGGUAACUGUAAGAGUAACUAUGAGAAGAUUAUAUGAUUAACAGCAGUAGACCUUAAAGUGAUUUAUGCAGCUUUUGAGAUAGCUCACCAGGUCAAACAGCAAUACUUUUGGCAUGCUAGGCUUCCCUGUCCAUCACCAACUCCUGAAGCUAGGUCAGACUCAUGGCCAUCGAGAAAACAACCUUGACAGUUCUGCGAGAGCUCACUUAGAAUGGGAAAGAAGAGAAAAAUGAAGAAAUUUAACUUCAGAUUGAGGCAAUGUCAUCAGCUAGAAAUACCCUGAGAACAAUCUUAACUUCUAAAUGAUAUUAUGCCUCUGACAACAUUUGUGCUGAACAAUUUCCAGUGCAUUCUUUACUUUGUUUCUAAUUAAUUAGACAAUAA